AGGUGUUUAAUUUUCUUUAGUUUUUUGUUUUCUCGGCUUUUGAAACCCUGGAUUUCCAUCUAGAAACUUAUACCAUGGAAAAAUGUCUCCAAGUCGCCAACUUGAUGGCCUAAUUUUAGCUUGACUUGCUGAUUUUUGUGUUGUGGAUGAAGUUUCCGAUUUGGGUUUGCUCCAAUUAGGGUUCUUUCCCAUCUCGGUUUCUUCAAUUUUGUGGGUUUUCAUACGGAUUUGUUCGUGAUUUUUUAUUACGAUUAGGGUUUUUUGAACUGUGCGCCAAAUGUUGUUCAAUUUGGAUGAUUUUUGUGGUUCUGUGAUUUGGGUUUCAUCAGUUUUGUGGUGAAGCUAGGGUUUCUGAUCUGGGUUUGUUAAAUUUGUGAUAUAAUAAGCCUUUUGGUUGUGAUGGGUGAGGAGACGUCUGAUGCAAUGAACCUUGACCUGAAUCUGGGUCCUGGUCCCGAUGCUGGCUCAAUGUCAAAUGAACCUGUAAAUUUGGAUGCUUGGACUGAAGCGCCUAUCCGCAGAAUUGCGGAAGCUAUGAGGAGGGCCAGGCAGAGGAGAUGGCCGCUACCUGAAAGGCGGAAUAUUUCCACGCUACCUGAAAGGCGGAAUAUUUCCAUGCUACCUGAAAGGCGGAAUAUUUCCAUGGAGUUGAAUGAAUUGAUGGUCAACUCUGGUAACUCAAGUACAUUACAACCCGGUGAGGGUAGCCUUACAGCAGAAGAAAGAACAAGUGACGCACCCAAG
rnacentral:lncRNA from 1 species